rnacentral:lncRNA from 1 species
GGUAGCAUCCUUAAAUUUCAUGUUCCAAUUCUGCCUGCCAAUAGAAAAAUUACCAUUACCAUCUCCAGGAAAUGAUUGCCCAUGUUCCAACCUUUCAUCCUUGAAACCUAAGUGGCAUGAACCACCAUCAUCAACAUAAUAUUUCCUUGAAAGUUCUACAACAACUCUCGCAGCUAGGGUUGUAUGUUCUGCAAAGUCAGCCGCUGCUCUAGCAGCAAAGGUAGCAUCCUUAAAUUACAUGUUCCAAUUCUGCCUGCCAAUAGAAAAAUUACCAUCUCCAAGAAAUGAUUGCCCAUAUUACACCCUUUCAUCCUUGAAACCUCAGUGGCAUGAACCACCAUUAUCCACACAAUAUUGCCUUGAAAGUUCUACAAUAGCUCUUGCAGCUAGGCUUGCAUGUUCUGCAAACUCAGCCGCUUCUAGAGCAGCAGAGGUAGCAUCCUAAAAUUUCAUGUUCCAAUUCUGCCUGCCAACAGAAAAAUUACCAUCACCAUCUCUUGGAAAUGAUUACCCAUGUUCCAACCUUUCAUCCUUGAAACCUAAGUGGCAUGAACCACCAUUAUCAACACAAUAAAUCCUUGAAAGUUCUACAACAGCUCUGGCAGCUAGGCUUGCAUGUUCUGCAAACUCAGCCGCUGCUUGAGCAGCAUAGGUAUCAUUCUUAAAUUUCAUGUUCCAAUUCUGCCUGCCAACAGAAAAAUUACCAUUACCAUC